AUUGAACGCUGGCGGCAUACCUUACACAUGCAAGUCGAACGGCAGCACGGGAGCAAUCCUGGUGGCGAGUGGCGAACGGGUGAGUAAUAUAUCGGAACGUGCCCAGUCGGGGGGGAUAACGCAGCGAAAGCUGUGCUAAUACCGCAUACGAUCUAUGGAUGAAAGCGGGGGAUCGCAAGACCUCGCGCGAUUGGAGCGGC
rnacentral:rRNA from 1 species